rnacentral:rRNA from 1 species
GGCCUGCAGCUUGCUGCGGGUACUCGAGUGGCGAACGGGUGAGUAACACGUGGGUGAUCUGCCUUGCACUUCGGGAUAAGCUUGGGAAACUGGGUCUAAUACCGGGUAGGACAGCUGUUUAGUGUCAGUUGUGGAAAGUUUUUUCGGUGCAAGAUGAGCUCGCGGCCUAUCAGCUUGUUGGUGGGGUAAUGGCCUACCAAGGCGUCGACGGGUAGCCGGCCUGAGAGGGUGUACGGCCACAUUGGGACUGAGAUACGGCCCAGACUCCUACGGGAGGCAGCAGUGGGGAAUAUUGCACAAUGGGCGGAAGCCUGAUGCAGCGACGCCGCGUGGGGGAUGAAGGCCUUCGGGUUGUAAACUCCUUUCGACAGGGACGAAGCGUAAGUGACGGUACCUGUAUAAGAAGCACCGGCUAACUACGUGCCAGCAGCCGCGGUAAUACGUAGGGUGCGAGCGUUGUCCGGAAUUACUGGGCGUAAAGAGCUCGUAGGUGGUUUGUCGCGUCGUCUGUGAAAUUCCGGGGCUUAACUCCGGGCGUGCAGGCGAUACGGGCUGACUUGAGUGCUGUAGGGGAGACUGGAAUUCCUGGUGUAGCGGUGAAAUGCGCAGAUAUCAGGAGGAACACCGAUGGCGAAGGCAGGUCUCUGGGCAGUAACUGACGCUGAGGAGCGAAAGCAUGGGUAGCGAACAGGAUUAGAUACCCUGGUAGUCCAUGCCGUAAACGGUGGGCGCUAGGUGUAGGGGGCUUCCACGUCUUCUGUGCCGUAGCUAACGCAUUAAGCGCCCCGCCUGGGGAUACGCCGCAAGGCUA